UCUUACAGUACCGUCAGUUAUCCACACGUGGAUAAGUUUCUUCCUGUAUAAAAGCAGUUUACAACCCAUAGGGCCGUCUUCCUGCACGCGGCAUGGCUGGGUCAGAGUUGCCUCCAUUGCCCAAUAUUCCUCA
rnacentral:rRNA from 1 species